UACGGAGGGGGCUAGCGUUGUUCGGAAUUACUGGGCGUAAAGCGCACGUAGGCGGCUUGGUAAGUUAGAGGUGAAAGCCUGGAGCUCAACUCCAGAAUUGCCUUUAAGACUGCCGAGCUAGCAGGUGAGAGAGGUGAGUGGAAUUCCGAGUGUAGAGGUGAAAUUCGUAGAUAUUCGGAAGAACACCAGUGGCGAAGGCGGUUCUCUGGGCCUGUACUGACGCUGAGGAGCGAAAGCGUGGGGAGCGAACAGG
rnacentral:rRNA from 1 species